rnacentral:rRNA from 1 species
GAUGAACGCUGGGCGUGCCUAAUACAUGCACGUCGAGCGAACAGACGAGGAGCUUGCUCCUCUGACGUUAGCGGCGGACGGGUGAGUAACACGUGGAUAACCUACCUAUAAGACUGGGAUAACUUCGGGAAACCGGAGCUAAUACCGGAUAAUAUAUUGAACCGCAUGGUUCAAUAGUGAAAGACGGUUUUGCUGUCACUUAUAGAUGGAUCCGCGCCGCAUUAGCUAGUUGGUAAGGUAACGGCUUGCCAAGGCAACGAUGCGUAGCCGACCUGAGAGGGUGAUCGGCCACACUGGAACUGAGACACGGUCCAGACUCCUACGGGAGGCAGCAGUAGGGAAUCUUCCGCAAUGGGCGAAAGCCUGACGGAGCAACGCCGCGUGAGUGAUGAAGGUCUUCGGAUCGUAAAACUCUGUUAUUAGGGAAGAACAAAUGUGUAAGUAACUAUGCACGUCUUGACGGUACCUAAUCAGAAAGCCACGGCUAACUACGU